rnacentral:miRNA from 1 species
CUUCCAGUAGCACCUUAGAGACCAACUAAGUUUGCAUGCACAUGAAAGCUCAUACCAGUAACAAACUUAGUUGGUCUCUAAGGUGCUACUGGAAG